CCUACGGGAGGCUGCAGUAGGGAAUCUUUCACAAUGGCCGAAAGCCUGAUGGAGCAACGCCGCGUGCAGGAUGAAGGCCUCCGGGUUGUAAACUGUUUUUAUAAGCGAGACAUAUGCUGGUAACUUAUGAUUAAGGAUCGGCUAACUACGUGCCAGCAGCCGCGGUCACACGUAGGAUCCGAGCAUUAUCCGGAGUGACUGGGUGUAAAGAGUUGCGUAGGUGGCAUAAUAAGUAGCUAGGGAAAUCUGGUGGCUCAACCAUUCAGACUAUUAGCUAAACUGUUAAGCUCGAGACCGUUAGGGGUAACUGGAAUUGCUAGUGUAGGAGUGAAAUCCGUAGAUAUUAGAAGGAACACCAAUAGCGUAGGCAGGUUACUGGGACGGUUCUGACACUAAGGCACGAAAGCGUAGGGAGCGAACGGGAUUAGAUACCCCAGUAGUC
rnacentral:rRNA from 1 species